AUGGACCCAAAGAUCCAUCUUCCAGAAGAAGAAUCCCACUUUUCACAAGACACUGUGCAAAUCAGGUGCCACUUCACAGCCAACUUAACUCAGCCUGUCUCCCAGUCUGGAUCUCCAGGAGGGGCCAUUAAACUCUCCUGUGCCAUCAGCAGUUCUCCAAACCACAUUGGCUGGAUUCAACAGAGACCUGGCGAAUCCCCUCGCUUUGUGCACUGUGAUGGCUGCAGCAGGGGAGAAGGGAUCCCAGACCGAUUCACAGGAACCCGAUCGGGGAACAACGGCUACUUAACCAUCACCAACCUUCAGGCUGAAGACGAGACCAUUUAUUACUGUCACAUGUGGUAUAGCAGUGGUGGAGUGUUCCACAGUGAGACAAUCUAG